AGCUCCAAUAGCGUAUAUUAAAGUUGUUGCAGUUAAAAAGCUCGUAGUUGGAUUUCUGGUAGGAGCGGCCGAUCCGCCCCGUUAGGGGUGUGCAUUAGCGCUGUCUCUGGCCAUCCUUGGGGGAACUGCGCGGGGAGACUUGCGUUCGGGAACCCAUCGUUUACUGUGAAAAAAUUAGAGUGUUUAAAGCAGGCUUAUGCCGUUGAAUACAUUAGCAUGGAAUAAUAAGAUAGGACCGCGUGGUCGUCUUGUUGGUUUGCACCGCGAGGUAAUGAUUAAUAGGUACAGUUGGGGGUAUUCGUAUUUAAUUGUCAGAGGUGAAAUUCUUGGAUUUAUGAAAGACGAACUUCUGCGAAAGCAUUUACCAAGGAUGUUUUCA
rnacentral:rRNA from 1 species